AUAAAAUCUCGAAAAUCAAUAAAUCCGCCAACAUUUCAUUUCCCUCCACCCGUCACGUUUUCCACCUUUUCAGACAAAAAAAGGGCAGAAAUUCUCAAGUAGGGCGGAGAAAAUUUCCAUUUGUUCAACCUUCGUCCUCCGUCGAUUCGGCUGGGAGCUAUAACCGGUGAGUGACGAUUUAUCAACUCUAACUGUUUCAUCCGGCAUUAGUUCCGUCUUUUAUUUCAAAAGUUACUGUAAAAUCUGUACGUGUUCGUCUAGGGUUUUGUUACUCAUCGAUGGAUAUCAUCAGUCCAUGAUCUUUGCCGAAAACGUAUAGUUCGAGUACCUUCCAUGUGUUUAAGUUGACACACACACUCGCAUAUUUUUUUCCUAGGGUUUCUCCGAUUCUUAUAUCUUCUCGUUUUCUGUAAGUAGGAUCGUGAUUUUUCGAUUUCUGGUAUAGGUUAUUUCAUUCGAUCGCUUUAUUUUAAUAUUUUUAAAUGUUAUCUUCACUCAUUUUUGAUUUCGGACAUAUGACGAGGAUGGUUGACACACUAUUGUUCUGCAUAAUUAUAUAAUAUUAUAUUAUGGAUCAAGUAUUUUCUGAUCAGCUAGUUGUUUUAAUCACAGUGAUCUUUUGAUUUUGUUUCUAUAUACCAUAUCACAUUUUAGAUGUGAUCAACUUUAUUAAGACGUCAUUAUUAGCUCAGAGUUAUUAUGGUUUUUCGCAUUUACUUUUCAAGGUUGUGUGAUUUGGAUGUGAUCAAACCUUAUUAAGACAAUAUGGAUUUUUGCAUUUACUUUUUAACUUUUUAAGGUUGUGGGAUUUGAAUGUGAUCAACCUUAUUGAGACGUAUUUAUUAGUUGCGAGUUAAUGUGGUUUUUCGCAUUUACUUUAUAACCUUUUAGGGUUAUGUGAUUUGAAUGUGAUCAACCUUAUUAAGAUGUAAUUAUUGACUGCGAGUUAAUAUGGGUUUUCACAUUUACUUUUUAACCUUUUAAGGUUGUGUGAUAUGAAUGCGAUCAACCUUAUUAAGUUGUAUUUUUAUAUUGCUUGUUGCAAAUAUUAAAUAUUUCUCAUUAAUAAUAAUGAAGAAUAAUACCCUGAAGAUUAACAAGUGGACAUAAAAUAAAAUGUGGUGGGGUGAUGGUGUGGUGGUUUCUCACUUCAUUGAUCUACUCCUUUUUUUUGCAUUCUCAGUGGUCUUAAGUAAUUAAGAGCUAAAUCUCAAGAAGUUUGUCUUCCAAACCUGCAUAGUAGUAGUUCUCUCCAUUUGCGAACCACAAUCUUUCUUAAAGAUUUCAAUUCUAAAAGAGAGACUGGAGUCUAAUAAUUUUCAGAAAUAGUAUUUCUGGAGGCUUGAGAGUGUGCUGAUGCAGUCUUCUGUUCCUUUUGGACCAGGCAUGCCAUAUAAGACCUCCAACUGCAUUCCAAUAGAGACCCUACGAUUGAUGUGUCAGUUUUUGGCAAACUUCAAUUAUAUCCCUUAUUCUGAUAUUAGGAUAAUGAGAGUUGGAACUGGAGGGUUUGACAUUUUUUAUAAGGCCUGAUUAAGGAAUUCAGUGAUGCCCAGAAGGAAGUGUCUGAUACUCUGGUGUAGUUCAAUUAAAAAAUAGACGACUGAUGGUUUCAUUUUUCUGUUCACAGAGGAAGCUAGUGGGCUGUAUUGGGGACCUCUCUAAUCAUCGAGCAUUUUUAAUGUCUUAAUCUGUCUAUUCUUAAUUCUUCAAAGAAUGAUUGAGAAUUUUGUAGGCAUACACGACCAUAUGCCUUUGGAAGGUGUGUCUUUAGGCCUCUUAGUUCUGAGUGUUUCUAUGAUUGUUUCUAGGUUUUGUUUCCCAUUUCGAAUUUUUGAGGUGAUAGAAUUUCCAACACUCUAGGAGUCCAAGCAUUCAGCCAUUGACUAAUGUAUUAAGACAUAAUUAUUAGCUAUGAGUAAUAUAUUUUUUCGUAUUUACUUUUUAAGUUUGUAUGAAUUGCUAAUUAAGAGAAUAGCAAAUGUGUCUUGAUAGUUGAUAAGAGUUUAAUUUUAAUGCAGUGCAUUUUUUCCCGAAAGACAAUGCUAUUGUUAUUAAUAUCUGUAAGUGUUUUUUUUGCAAACAAAGGAAUCCUUCUUAGACGUUUUAAACAUCAAAGGGAUAUUCAAAGUACAUCUGAUAUAUCAUCAGGUAAUUUUGACAUUCGUAGAUAAUAUAUUCAGUACAGAAUUCAUAUCUUCAUGCAAAUUUUUAGUGUCAUGAGAUCACUUGAAUUAUCCCUUUUAAUUAAUUAUUUUUUUAAAGCUGGUUAAUGUUUUCAUUUAAUGAAAAAUGAAGGGCAUUGUCCUUAAUAUACAAUGGAAAUAAGCAGAAAGUAUGAAUAUGAAUAUUGUCACACUUUCCACACAACCAUGUUGCUUAAAGAAAACUCUAGACUAUCUGCCUCCGGAGGUUAGUCUCUCAAAUCUGCAUUGUGCUAGUCUUCAAGGGAUAACAAUAACAUUUCUUGAAGUACUCAGCACAACAUUGUGUUAGUCCUUAAUUGUUAAUUAUUAUGUGUAGUAGUUAUGUAUGAUUAUUUUUUGGGGGGUUGCUUUAUUUAUAUAUUACCCUUUCAAAUUAAAAGUUUGAGAGUUUUUAAAUCUGCAUUGUGCUAGUCUUCAAGGGAUAACAAUAAUAUUUCUUGAAGCACUCAGCACAACAUUGUGCUAGUCCUUAAUUGUUAAUUAUUAUGUGCAGUAGUUAUGUAUGAUUAUUUUUUGGGGGGUUGCUUUAUUUAUAUAUUAACCUUUCAAAUUAAGAGUUUGAGAGUUUUAGUGAUAGUAGGUUAUUCAUAAUUUUAGGUGUAUUUUUUAUUUGUCUUUCCCCCAAAUGAAUAUUAUAUAUCUUUUCUAACAUGAGGUCUGUCGAAUCUUUUGCGGUGGCCUCCAUGGUCAUUUGCUGUUCCAAUUUUAAGAAAUUGCUCCAAAAGCAAUGAAGAUAUAUCUAUAAAAUUGCUCCAAGAGCUUUCGGGGUUCCAACGUAAAGAGAACGGAACCUUAAUUUCUGUUGAUGGUAAUGACAAGUGUACAAUCCUGUAUCAUAAGUGUUCCAACUUUAAUCGUGUUUUAGUUGUCUUUUCCUUGAAUGAUCUAUUUGAUGCAAACUAACUUCUCAAGUUUUGACUAAAAAAUUUGAAUGUGAUUCAUUCAGGAUAUCAGUUUUUUAUCUGAAGAUUUCAGGGAGGACUGUGACUCCUGACUAGCGAUAAUUAUUGUGUAAUUGUAGGAAGCCAACCUUUUAAAGAAACACACUUAGUUAUUUAAUCACUCGUUGUAAUGCUGUAUAGUAAAGUGUUGACGAGUUUUGAUAAUUUUCUCAAGUCUGUAUUGUAAUUCAGGGCAAUGCUCUUUAUUUCUAAAUUCUAAUAAAAAAAUUUAAUUCCAUCAAAAACAGAAUUGUCCAUUCCAUGUUUUUAGCACACAUAGGUGCCAAGUUGAGGCACAUUUAGGUGUGCCUCAUUUAAUCUAAUACUCUAUUUAUAUUUUUUUGAACUUAAUUACUUAACUAUUUUAGUAUACUAACUAAAUGGUUAUUGUGUUUUUGAAUUAUCUUUUUGUCAGAAUAAUAUGCAUAUUUAUUUUCCGAAUUAUAACGGAAAACUUUCUACAUGAUGUAGAAAUAUUUACUUCCGGAUGAGAUACUCAUAUAGUAGAGUCAUAAUAUAUCACAGGUUACAUCGUAGUGAAAAUUUAAUGAAAAUAUGUACUCAACAAGACUUGAAUAUAUUUUCUUUUUCAAAUUAUGUGGCAUAUUAGGCAUACCUAGACCACCACCUAUGCAUCAAUGCACAAGUCUUUGAUGCAAGGAUCCUCAGUGUAAUUCAAAACUUGGACUCAUUUGAACAGUCCUACAUUCAGAAAUACAAGGUCACUAGUUUUCUUCUUAAGGCAUUCCAACUUGAUUUCCUGCAUUACGUUUAGAAGAUCAGUGUUUGCAAAUCAGUAAUCCAGUCUACGCUUGAUAUGUGCAGCAUUUUCCUUCCUAUUAUACUAAGAAAAUGAACCCCCAUGUAGCUUAGUUUCAUAAUCCUUAAUGGCAAACUCCUCUCCAAUAUCAGUUGCUACAUAUUCUUGAAACUUCUUUUUUUGCAUUUCUCAUGUGAUUUAAAAUAUUUUUGCAGUGAGCUUUUCCUAGCACACUAAAAAUUACUGUUAGAUUUUUAAUUAAAGUAUUUUUUAUACUCAAGUCUUGAAGGUAACUAG
rnacentral:lncRNA from 1 species